AGAGUUCGAUCCUGGCUCAGGAUAAACGCUGGCGGCGUGCUUAACACAUGCAAGUCGAACGAAGUUUUUCUUUCGGGAGGAACUUAGUGGCGGACGGGUGAGUAACGCGUGGGUAACCUGCCCUGUACAGGGGGACAACAGCUGGAAACGGCUGCUAAUACCGCAUAAGCCCUUAGCACUGCAUGGUGCAUAGGGAAAAGGAGCAAUCCGGUACAGGAUGGACCCGCGUCUGAUUAGCCAGUUGGCAGGGUAACGGCCUACCAAAGCGACGAUCAGUAGCCGAUCUGAGAGGAUGUACGGCCACAUUGGGACUGAGACACGGCCCAGACUCCUACGGGAGGCAGCAGUGGGGAAUAUUGCACAAUGGAGGAAACUCUGAUGCAGCGACGCCGCGUGAGUGAAGAAGUAUUUCGGUAUGUAAAGCUCUAUCAGCAGGGAAGAAAAUGACGGUACCUGACUAAGAAGCACCGGCUAAAUACGUGCCAGCAGCCGCGGUAAUACGUAUGGUGCAAGCGUUAUCCGGAUUUACUGGGUGUAAAGGGAGCGUAGGUGGCAAGGCAAGCCAGAAGUGAAAACCCGGGGCUCAACCGCGGGAUUGCUUUUGGAACUGUCAUGCUAGAGUGCAGGAGGGGUGAGCGGAAUUCCUAGUGUAGCGGUGAAAUGCGUAGAUAUUAGGAGGAACACCGGAGGCGAAGGCGGCUCACUGGACUGUAACUGACACUGAGGCUCGAAAGCGUGGGGAGCAAACAGGAUUAGAUACCCUGGUAGUCCACGCGGUAAACGAUGAAUACUAGAUGUCGGGUAGCAUAGCUACUCGGUGUCGUCGCAAACGCAAUAAGUAUUCCACCUGGGGAGUACGUUCGCAAGAAUGAAAC
rnacentral:rRNA from 1 species